GAAAAGUAGAGCCCUGAGAGAGGGACUAGGUCCUGAAGACUUCAUUUAAGACACAGGAUCCAGCCUUGCUUGAUGUCAUUACUCCUAGACUUUCACGUACAAGAGCCAAAAAAUUGUCUUUUCUUCCCCCUUAACCCAGGGCUCCUGCAACCAAAAGAACACUUGACUGUGGCAUCUUUCCAGCCUCCUGUUAGCAGCUAGGUAAGGUGCCCCCAUGGCAAGGAGCUGCGGGCAGCCUCAAGAAACUGGGUGGCCUCUUAGGACCUGAGGGCAGCCUCCAACAAGCAAGCAGCAAACCUCUGGGGCCUUCUGUUCUACAACUGCAAGGAAAUAAAUUCUGCCAACAGCCUGAAUGAGCACGGAAGUGAACUCUUUCUCAGUCGAGCCUCUGAAUGAGAACACAGUUCAACUCAUGCCUUGACUGCAGCUUGUGAGAGUCUGAGAAGAGGACCAGGAAUUGACGGCGCACAGGGAACAGUUUCUACUGCUGUCCUUCCCGUUACCUCCUCCAAUGGGGCUUCAGUCACCACCUCUCUGGAAGGUGAUGAUGGUCGGCAGCUCCAUAUCGCCAGCCGUGACUCUGCCCUGAAAUCUAGCCCAAGGGAGCCAACUGCCUGUUUUGUCAGGACUCAUGAUCCUGAAGACAAUGAAGAAGAAAUAUGACAGUCGGUCCCGAGUGUGGAAUGAACACUCUGCUCUCCCAGCUGGGGAACUCCGUGAGGACCCACAUAAGCAAUGCAGAAGCAUUGGGAAACACAUGCAAUAACUGGGGCCAUCUGUUUUCUCCUGAAAACUAGUGGUGGGCUGGAUUCUCUGAAGAGUUUCUCAAGGCAUGUUGGACCAGAACAACCUGCUCAGAGAAGAGGCAAGGUCCCUGCCUGGGCCUCUGAGGUGUUGGAGGUGGGGCCAGCCCACCCCCAGGCCGUGAGGCCUGGCUGCUGGAAGGAGGCAGGACCCAGAAGGUUGCUGCCAUCCUGGGGUGUCUGAGUCCCCAUGUGGCCCAGCUGUGUUCCUGCUGGCCCGGCAUCCACACCCUUGUCUCUGGAUGUGCGGUGGGAGAAUUGUCUUUCUCCACGAACAGGCCAGGUGGUUCCUGGGAUUGACCUCUCUCUCCCAGGUGUGGACAAGCAGAGCAUCCUACGUCCCCAGCUACAGCGACUGGCUGAUAUGGUUUGGCUGUGUCCCCACCCAAAGCUCAUCUUGAAUUCCCACGUGUUGUGGGAGGGACCCAGUGGGAGGUAAUUGAAUCAUGGGGGCAGGUCUUUCCUGUGCUGUUCUCAUGAUAGUGAGUAAAUCUCACAAGAUCUAAUGGUUUUAUAAGGAGGCUGCACAAGCUCUUUCUCUGCCUGCUGCCAACCAUGUAAGAUGUGACUUGCUCCUCCUUUGCCUUCCACCAUGAUUAUGAGGCUUCUCCUGCCACAUGGAACUGUGAGUCCAUUAAAAUC
rnacentral:lncRNA from 1 species